rnacentral:rRNA from 1 species
CGCUGGCGGCGUGCCUAAUACAUGCAAGUCGAGCGGAAUGAUGAAGAAGCUUGCUUCUUCUGAUUUUAGCGGCGGACGGGUGAGUAACACGUGGGCAACCUACCUUGUAGAUUGGGAUAACUCCGGGAAACCGGGGCUAAUACCGAAUAAUCCAUUUUGCUUCAUGGCGAGAUGUUAAAAGGCGGCUUCGGCUGUCACUACGAGAUGGGCCCGCGGCGCAUUAGCUAGUUGGUAGGGUAAUGGCCUACCAAGGCGACGAUGCGUAGCCGACCUGAGAGGGUGAUCGGCCACACUGAGACUGAGACACGGCCCAGACUCCUACGGGAGGCAGCAGUAGGGAAUCUUCCACAAUGGACGAAAGUCUGAUGGAGCAACGCCGCGUGAGUGAAGAAGGUUUUCGGAUCGUAAAACUCUGUUGUAAGGGAAGAACACGUACGAGAGUAACUGCUCGUACCUUGACGGUACCUUAUUAGAAAGCCACGGCUAACUACGUG